CAGACAAGUUAGAGAGCAGGCCAGGAAAACAGGAGCAGGAAGAAUUGAGAGCAGACUUUAUAAAGAAUGGAGGACCAAAAGCAAAGCUGCCCUUCAUCCCGGAAGAGUCAGAAAGACCUUCUACAAAAUGAGGAACUCACAUGGCCUCAGACGUGCUCUCUAGCCAAGGAUAACCUUUAACUUGCUGAGCCUCUAGGAAGACCACAGCAUAUACCCAAGCUUCCUGCAAAAACUCCUCAAAUUACAAUCUCUUCUGGACCAGAGCUGCCCUUCACGUGCUGGGAUUGCAGGUGAAGCCCAUG